rnacentral:rRNA from 1 species
CCUACGGGCGGCUGCAGUGAGGAAUAUUGGUCAAUGGGCGAGAGCCUGAACCAGCCAAGUAGCGUGCGGGAUGAAGGCCCUUGUGGUCGUAAACCGCUUUUAUCAGUGAAUAAAGUGCACCACGUGUGGUGUCAUUGCAGGUAGCUGAAGAAAAAGGACCGGCUAAUUCCGUGCCAGCAGCCGCGGUAAUACGGAAGGUCCGGGCGUUAUCCGGAAUUAUUGGGUUUAAAGGGAGCGCAGGCGGGAGUGUAAGUCAGCUGUUAAAUAUCAGGGCCCAACUCUGUUAUGCAGUUGAAACUAUAUUUCUUGAGUACGCACAGGGAUGGCGGAAUUCAGGGUGUAGCGGUGAAAUGCUUAGAUAUCCUGAAGAACUCCGAUCGCGAAGGCAGCCAUCCGGAGCGUAACUGACGCUGAGGCUCGAAGGUGCGGGUAUCGAACAGGAUUAGAUACCCCUGUAGUC